rnacentral:ribozyme from 11 species
AUGAAGAAAUGCAAAUGACACUUGACGAAGAAGAAACAUAACUCGAAGAGGAAGAGGAGGAAGGGGUGCGAGACCUCUCCCUCUGCUUCUGCUUCUUUUUUUUUUUUCUUCUUGUCUCUUCCUCUCUCGUCCUCCCAAUUC